rnacentral:rRNA from 1 species
AACGAACGCUGGCGGCGUGGAUAAGACAUGCAAGUCGAACGGAGCAUUUUGGUAGCAAUAUCGAAAUGCUUAGUGGCAAACGGGUGCGUAACACGUAGGUUACAUUCCGGAAAGUGUGGGAUAGCCCAGGGAAACUUGGAUUAAUACCGCAUGUGAUCGCAAGAUCAAAGGCGAAAGCCGCUUUCCGAUUGGCCUGCGCCCUAUCAGCUAGUUGGUGAGGUAACGGCUCACCAAGGCUACGACGGGUAGCUGGUCUGAGAGGACGACCAGCCACACUGGAACUGAGACACGGUCCAGACACCUACGGGUGGCAG